rnacentral:misc_RNA from 1 species
AACUGAUACUACCUGCGGGAACCUGCGGAGGGAUCAUUAGUGAAAGCCCUCGCGGGCUUAUAACUAUUCCAAACCUCUGUGAACCGUGCCCUUCGGGGCUAUUUUACAAACAUGGUGUAAUGAACGUCAUAUAUCAUAACAAAACAAAACUUUUAACAAUGGAUCUCU